CACAUGAAAUUCAACAUGUCACACUUUUAAAUCCUUCCUUUCUCCUUUUAAAUAACUCAGCUGUGCCUAUAUAAAGUUGAACUGCCAUGCUUUGCUCUGAAUUCCUCGUUAUUGUUGCCCCGCAGCUCCUCUUUUAACUCUGUUUUGAGUUUCGUCUGAAAGCAACUCGUUUUGGUGCUGUCUCUUUAAAGGAGGCACCUCACACCCCACCCUCCUCCAGGUCACACAGCGUCUUCGUAGACCAACAAGCUUCAGUCUUAUCGGUCCUCUUAACUGUAUUUUUAAGGUCUUAUUAAAUUUUUCAGGGAGACUCCAAACCAAACAACAUUGUUUUGCCGAUCUUCUCCAUCUAAAGAAUCGCAAUUUUUCAGACUGCUCUAGUGACUUUUUUUAUUCAAAAGGGACAAGCAAUGGAUCUAGUGAUUUGUUUUCCUGUUGUUUCUGUGACGUUCCUGGCACUGGAGCUGAUCUAAUUACUACUCAGCACACCUGUUCAGCCUCCACCCGGCCUGCUAUCAACCCUCAAUGGUUUCACCUGGUCUCUCCUCCAUAUAAACCCCGCUCUAACCAGCUUCUAGUGCUAGAAUGUCUCAAACCUACGGUAAGAGCCUUCCAGCAGUUGUUUAUGUUACAAACAUGCCUGUAUGCCUUUCUGUUGCCCAACUCUUUGUGCCCAAGCUUGCCUGAUCCCAGUCUGUUCAUGUCUACCUGCUUUACCUCAUCAGGACUUCCCUCCGUCUACUCUGCUCGUCGCAGCUUGACCUGCCUGUUUUCCUGGAAUUAUGUCGGUUUCUGUUUGCCUGCCCCCAUCUGUGAAUAAACCCCUUUCAAGCAUUUGCUCCAUGUUUCGGCUGAAUAUCGGGUUCUGGUCAAGCAAAAUCAUUACAGUUUCAGACUUUGGCAACUAGUAAAAGCACCGAUCUUUCUGGGUUUUUACUGUCUCUACAGCAAACCGUGAGGGCAGCUGUAAGCCCCCUGCUUAUGAGUUCUGACAGGCGAUCAGACUCCGUGUGGUGAAGUCAGGUGUGCAUGGGCUUUUCCUUCUACAGACCUAUUAUUACUUCACCUGAGACACUUUGCACCGAUGUCGGCACAACCAACCUUCUCAACCAGUCCGAAGCAGUAGUGGGAUUUGGUUUCGCCUGCAAAGCUCACAGUGACAAAGUCCCCAGCAGACGGAUCCUUGUCUAAUCAACAUCAUGGACAUCUGAACUCUCAUAGUCAGUGGUGUUUUUAAGUAUAUAGCAUUGUCACUUUCUUAUGAGCAACUGUACACAACCAUUCAUGGCCAGUAUGACUGGAAAAGUGAUACAAGUUUGGUCCAUUUACCAUUUUUUUAUAUAACUGUUAUAUAAACUGUCUGAGCAGUUAUAUACUACUUAAAUGUGUUUACCUGUCAUGCUCUGUACUUUGCAUGAUGAUAGAAAUGGCUUUAAAAUAUG